rnacentral:rRNA from 1 species
AUUGAACGCUGGCGGCAGGCCUAACACAUGCAAGUCGAGCGGAUGAGAGGAGCUUGCUUCUCGAUUCAGCGGCGGACGGGUGAGUAAUGCCUAGGAAUCUGCCUGGUAGUGGGGGACAACGUUUCGAAAGGAACGCUAAUACCGCAAACGCCCUACGGGAGAAAGCAGGGGACCUUCGGGCCUUGCGCUAUCAGAUGAGCCUAGGUCGGAUUAGCUAGUUGGUGAGGUAAUGGCUCACCAAGGCGACGAUCCGUAACUGGUCUGAGAGGAUGAUCAGUCACACUGGAACUGAGACACGGUCCAGACUCCUACGGGAGGCAGCAGUGGGGAAUAUUGGACAAUGGGCGAAAGCCUGAUCCAGCCAUGCCGCGUGUGUGAAGAAGGUCUUCGGAUUGUAAAGCACUUUAAGUUGGGAGGAAGGGUUGUAGAUUAAUACUCUGCAAUUUUGACGUUACCGACAGAAUAAGCACCGGCUAACUCUGUGCCAGCCGCCGCGGUAACAC